GAUAAGGUAUGUAAAAAGCAGAUUCUGCGGAUAGUGCACCCAGCUGCCCAGAGGCGUAUUUCCUACUGCCCCUAUUAAAUGGGCAUCGGUCGGCUCAAUCGUUAGUGUCGACGAGAGGGGCCGCCUGGACCUGGAUUCUGGAGCUCUGGAUCUGGGAUGGACGUGGGUAAAUGAUUAGGCCGCCUGGCAGGCCAGAGAUUCCUGAUUCCUGAUGCCCCGAUUCCUGCCUGCUUCCUCCGCUGAAGCGCUGAAUCGAAAUCAAAUUAAACUCGGUGGUGUUUCUCCCAGUUGCGUGUGUGUGUUUCCCUAUGGACUGCGGAGUGGACCACUGGACGACUGGACGAUGAAGGAGGAGGAACGCAUUGUAUAUUUUGCAAUUUGAACAGCCGCUAGUUGCCGGUACACAGACGUUUAUAAUUCGCAAAGGUGUGCGUGGUGGUGGUGUGAAACAAAUUAAUAUCCGCUUAACUGCUACAAAUAUCAUUAAGCAUCUUGUGCACACAAAAACACACGUAACACCACUAAUUUGAAUCGGCCGAAAUACAGAUGGGCUCGUGACAAAGUACCGAUUACUAUUCGUUCCGAUCACUCUAAGUAUUCACAACCUUUGAAAUUCCUCUUUGAUGUACCGGCAAUAACAAAAAACAUGAUGGUUUUGUUAAUGGAUUUCUAUAAAGGCUUCCGACUGUUAAAAGACCCGGCUGGAAGAGAACACCCGUGGCGAUAAUUUAAAGCCACUGUCUAAGCCAGCAUACCUUUUUAUACCCUUGCGUGGGGUAUGGUAGUUUGGACCAACUGACUGCAAUCGGCAUAGGAAAGCCGUUUCGACUCUGGGAGGCUUAUAGCUCGGACCGAAUUAGCUUCGGGGGAUCCUUUUCCAAUUUCAAUUGGUUAAAUUCAGGUUUUUCUGCUGCAAAAUCCUAAAUUAAUUGCCUGCAUGCGGAGUGUUUAGGAAGAGUGCCGAGUAGUGCCGUCGCAGGAACACAUGAACAGGAACUGGAACUGGAACUAAACACCCUAUGGGGGCACGGUGGCGAUACGACAUGACGAUAUGAUAUGGGCGAGAUAGCGACGAGAAGCGACGGCAAACAAGAUCGCGCCAACUGUCGGCAAUAAACUCUGCGCAAGAACUACGCUCGUUAUAAGCUCCGGCGACGACACUGGCUUUAGCACUGGCCUGGCACUGGAUGUAAAAAGCACUCUCACUGAGGUUUCCUCUACCUUCCUGCCUUCCUGCCCGCCUGGCAAAUUACCAUCAAAAGCUGAAUACGAAUACGUGAGUGGUAGUGGCUAUACUGGCUAUAGGUAUUGGGGGUAUGGGGGCUAUAAAGCCCGAGCGAACUUGGGGCGAAGAUAGCGAUAGAGCGGGAACAAAACAAACGACAACAAACGAAGAACACGGCACACAAAAAAUUACUGUUUCAGCAGACUGGCAGACGACGUGCCGGUUAUUGUACUAAGUGAGCAAUGCCGUCCCCGUCGUAGUCCGUGGUAUAGUGGUCCCCACACCUCCGAGCCGCCGAACCUCAGUCCUCAAUCCUCGGUCCUCAGUCCGUACGUACAACCAACC